rnacentral:rRNA from 1 species
AACGAACGCUGGCGGCAGGCCUAACACAUGCAAGUCGAGCGCCCAGCAAUGGGAGCGGCAGACGGGUGAGUAACACGCGGGAACCUUCCCUAUAGUACGGAAUAUACCAGGGAAACUUGGAGCAAUACCGUAUACGCCCGAGAGGGGAAAGAUUUAUCGCUAUAGGAUGGGCCCGCGUUGGAUUAGCCAGUUGGUGAGGUAACGGCUCACCAAGGCAACGAUCCAUAGCUGGUUUGAGAGAAUGACCAGCCACACUGGGACUGAGACACGGCCCAGACUCCUACGGGAGGCAGCAGUGGGGAAUAUUGGACAAUGGGCGCAAGCCUGAUCCAGCCAUGCCGCGUGAGUGAUGAAGGCCUUAGGGUUGUAAAGCUCUUUUGCCGGGGACGAUAAUGACGGUACCCGGAGAAUAAGUCCCGGCUAACUUCGUGCCAGCAGCCGCCGUAA